rnacentral:antisense_RNA from 1 species
AAAGUACCUGGACCUCUAUGCCCAUGCUUCUAGCAGCCAGCCUCCUAAAAUACCUCUAGUUGAAGCCAAAGUUAGAAUCCUUCUAUGAAACUACAGGAUUAAAAUGGAAUGGUUACAUGACCCAGGCUUGACCAAUCAGAUCAUCCAAACCCUUUGCCACAGUGAUUGGUCCAGGGAUACAUGCAUGAGCCAGCUCAGGUGGCAUUGUAUUAUGCGCCAAGAGUGAACCAGAUAGAGGAAGUUGCUCCUUAAGCUUGCAGGUCUGAAAGAACAAGGAAUUGCCUCUCUUCAAAGAUAAGAAGUCCAGCCACUUCUUUAAUUUAUCGGAUUAUAAGGCCUAAGCCACACUCAUCUUGUGGAUGACACUGGAGCUGUGACAGUCUGUUCUGUCCAGGCUGGGUGUCUUUUAUUUUUAUUGGAAAUAAGAUUAUCACAGCCCUUUGAGAGCUUCUGUCUCAACAUCAGAAAAUCAUCCUAGAUCCAUACUUGUACACAACAGUCUGUGCCAGUGAGAUUCAUUCUUUUGGGAGCUCUGCUAAUAAUGCACGAAUUGCUGGCUGUUGAUACUCUUUCCCAU